rnacentral:rRNA from 1 species
CCUACGGGAGGCAGCAGUGAGGAAUAUUGGUCAAUGGACGAGAGUCUGAACCAGCCAAGUAGCGUGAAGGAUGACUGCCCUAUGGGUUGUAAACUUCUUUUAUAUGGGAAUAAACUGUUCCACGUGUGGGAUUUUGUAUGUACCAUAUGAAUAAGGAUCGGCUAACUCCGUGCCAGCAGCCGCGGUAAUACGGAGGAUCCGAGCGUUAUCCGGAUUUAUUGGGAUUAAAGGGAGCGUAGGUGGAUUGUUAAGUCAGAUGGGAAAGUUUGCGGCUCAACCGUAGAAUUGCAGUUGAAACUGGCAGGCGUGAGUACAGUAGAGGUGGGCGGAAUUCGUGGUGUAGCGGUGAAAUGCUUAGAUAUCACGAAGAACUCCGAUUGCGAAGGCAGCUCACUGGACUGCAACUGACACUGAGGCUCGAAAGUGUGGGUAUCAAACAGGAUUAGAUACCCUAGUAGUC